rnacentral:lncRNA from 1 species
GAUUGUACUAAAGUUGUAGAACUAGAUCAAGAUGUGGUCCUCGUCCAUGAAAGUCUGCAUGCAUUUAUGAAUAUGAUAUAUAAUGAUAAAUCUAUCUAAAUACUUUAUGAACUUAUCACAAUCAUAGAUUGUGUUGUGCUCACUUCGUCCCUUCACUUGUGCUUCUCUCACUGUGCCUCGGGGAAACAACACUGUUCUUUGUAGCAAUUAACCAUCUUCAUAUCACUAGGAGGAUUUUGGAUCCUAACGAAUGGAAGUAAAAACAUUGUUUCAAGACCCUUCUGAAAUAAAACAUGAUUUUUAGUGGUUAAUAAUACAAGAAGCUGAUUGAUCUGUUGAGUUGAGGAUUGAAUAGGAUAAGGAGAUCUUCACAUUUUGAGUCAAAUUCAAACUCAGAAAGUUUAUGCCUAGAAUGGACAUUAGACAUCGUUAAUUAUGAAAUUAUAAGGAACUUCCUUCUGAAAGAGCGAAUCGAAAUAGGUUAUAUUAAUUCUUGUUUUUGUAAAUAUAAAUGAUAAAAAUAUACUUAAAGUCAAGAUUU